UGUUAUUGUAGCUGUUAAGAAUAACUUAGUUUGUUUGCCAGGCGACUAUGCUUGAAAGAGUAAAAGUCUAAGUGAUUGGCGGUCUAGGAUACCCGGCCCGUGAGACUUGACGGUUAAUUCGAUGAUCCGCGUUAUAAUUUACUUGUUUUUGAGAAUCAGUUGGUGUAUGGCCGUCGCUAGGUUUACCUUGAAAGGGUAAAAAAGUAAGCUAGAAUUUAGUUAGACACGUUUGGGGUUGUUUACUGAAUAUAAGUCAGGUCUUUAUGCUGCUUAUAGACAAGGCUUAGUUGAGUCGCAUUAAUGAGAUUAAGCGGAGUUUUAGGGGAAUGACUAGGAUGAAGAAGGAAUGGGUAGUAAUGGAAAAUUAGUACGUUUUUGUGAAUGGAGAACUUCUAGGUGUACAAAUCGCC
rnacentral:rRNA from 1 species